GGUUUAUGUUUAUUUCCUUGCACUGUGUAUGUAGAUGUGGCUUUAGGACAAGGGUACAGGGCUAGCAGUAGGUGGGUAACAAUACCUAAUGGCAGAUUUAGGGCAUUUUUGGAGGGAAUGACUUGUUUGCUUUCUAUAUCUGAUUUUCCCUUCUCUCGCCCUUCAGGUAUUCCUCUUUAUCAGUGGAGUUUUCCUGAGCUUAAACCAGGCCCUAUCAGAGGAUAUGAUGCUGUCUGUAAUACGGCCAAAAUUCUACACAAUCGCUGGACAGCUACAGGCCUUCCUGACGCGGUUGAUUGCAGGCGUAGGUGCUCCAUUUAUUAUUGAAUAUAUAUCUGUUAAGAUCCAGGAGUCGAAUUCUGAGAAGACUUCCUUUGAAUGCAUGCAAUUUGCCCUAAUGUUUUU